AGAUUCCCCGGAAGCGCUGGCGCACCGCGACGCCCCAAGUCGAGCUCGCUCACCGAUGGAAAUUCCGGCCGUCAAGCCGCACUACCACCCAGCAGUGGGCCAGGCAGGUGUCGUCAGCCUCGAAGUCCCUCACGUACUCGAACUUGCUUUUUGCCAUGGUCGCCCCCAAUCUCAGGAGAAAAAAAGAAGAAAAUGAAAAAGGAGGAGAAACAAGGAAGAAAGAAAAGGAGGCUGAGGGAGGAGAAUUGCUUGAACCUGGGAGGCAGAGUUUGCAGCAAGCUGAGAUUGUGCCACUGCACUCCAGCCUGGCCAACAGAGCAAGACUGUCUCAAAAAAAAAAAAAAAAGAAAGAAAAAGAAAACAGAGACACACACAGAGAGGAAGAAUGGCACCUGAAGAAGGAAGCAGAGGUUGGAGUGAUGCAUCUACAAGCCAAGAAAGGUGAAGGAUUGUCCUUGACAAGGCUGAGGCAGGAGAAUCACUUGAGCUUGAGAGGUGGAGGUUGCAGUGAGCCAAGAUGGUGCCACUGCACUCCAGCCUGGGUGACAGGGGGUUCCAGAAGUCGUGAGGAUGUGGUUGAUGGAGGACUUGGAAAAAGAUGUUAGGAAAAGAGAAAGAGGAAAUUAAAUGUAUGUUGCCUAGUCCCACUUGACCUUGUUCCAUUUAAUUCCACAAAUGUACUCAUUCAUUUAACAAGUAUUUCUUGAUUUAUUUCUAUGUACCACGCACCAAGGCUGUCACGCAACAGCAAACAAGACAGCCAUGCUGCCUGCCCAGUGGGGUUCGAGGUCAGUUGGGAAAGACAGACCUGAUGACAAACAAUUGUGUGAAGUGUUGUGAAUCAAGGUGGAGGCCCUGCCCUGACUGGGGGGCUGGGGAUAGUCCAUGAAGUUUCCCCUGAGGAAGCAGUACUUAAACUGAGACCCAAUAAUGAGAUCACAAGACAGCAUGCUUACAGGUUUCUGGAAUCUUGGAAUUGUAAUGUUGGGUGAACGUUUUGCCACACAUUUUGCUUGUAUAAGACUUUGGAAAGGAACCUUGAGUAGUGUGAAUUUCUAUAUCAUGGGUCAGGCAAUUAAUAAACACUGAUUGAGCACCUUCAAUGUGUGAGGGCACUGGAUGAUGUGUGAGGUGUCUGGGCCAACCGAGAAUCUAUUUUGAUAUUUCAGAUAUCCAGGACUGAUUAAAUGGAAGAGAUAGACAAAAGACAAAAAAGAAAAAAAAAGAACUUUGUGUCCAUAGGUACUGACUAGGAGGAUAUAAUUGAUAAUAAUAAUACCUUCUGGGUAUAAGAAACUUAUUCCAAACCAUAUUCUCAUACGUUAUUCAUUUUUUUCCUCUCUAAAUGAGUCUGUAGGGGAGGUAAGACAACAAUUUUCUCCAUUUUAUAAGAAAGGAAACAAAUGUUGUGGGGAUUAGUUAAGUGAUUUUUGCCCAAUGUCCCACAACUUUCCAAACUAGGAUUAGAACCCAGGCCUUUUGACACCAAGUCCAAGUUCGCCUCCACUCUGCCACCUUGCCUUUCCAUGCUUGUCAGGAAUGAAAUAGAUAGCUGUUGUCUUUGCCUGCCCAGCAUUUCAUUUUUCUGACUUUGGACCAGGGAAGCCCAACUAUCCUUUCCCCACCUUCAGGCCAUGUAGUCCAGGUGGAGAUAAUCCCUCCUCACCUGUUGCUCCACUGUCAUGUCCUAGUGUGAACUGGAUAAAGAUCCCUCUCUCCUGUCACACACAGUCCUGCACCAGGAUAAAGGCUUGGUGAAUGCGGCCCUCUCUGGAUUUCAGCCCCUGCUUGUCAUUUUUGCAAUGAAUUACCUGGACAAAUAUCUGUGGCCUUCCUAAUGACUGAGACCUAGCCAGUAAGGUUCUGAGAUGUGGAUCUGACCCAAGCCAGGUCAAUGAGACAGUCUGGCCCUUUGCUAGGAUGACUAGGAAAGACAGGCUCUCUUCCCAUUUGAAUUGUUACACUGGUGGCCAUGUUGCCUUCAAGAGGGAAGAGACUGCCCAAGAUUUCAGUUUACACAAAGGAAAGAAAAUAGGAAAGAUGGAGACAAAAACUGUGAUAACAUUGAGCACCACACUUGGAGCCAGUGCUACCCCUGGACUCAUAAGUUCCUGGAGAGGGGGUCUUGGCUUAAUAUUUUUCAAAGCUGAAUCCCUCAUGCCUAGAACGGUGCCUGACACAAAGGAAGCAAUCAAUAAAUAUCUGUUAAAUAAUUGAGCUGAUAAAUUCCUUUUUUGUUUUUCUUUUUUGUAUAUGUAACUGGGUUGUUGGAAGUCGCGAUUCAUUGGGGAGUAUAAAUUAAAAGUAACUUUGUUUUUCUCAGUAACUGUUCUCUCAUGUUCUCCUUUCUUACUGGUCAGCAAUUUCCUUGGAGCAUGGCUAGGCACGGUGGCUCACGCCUGUAAUCUCAACACUUUGGGGGGUUGAGGUGGGCAAAUUGCUUGAACUCAGGAGUUUGAGACCAGCCUGGACAAUGUGGCGAGAUCCUGUCUCUCUCCCUCCCUCCAAAAAAACAAACAAACAACAACAAAAACAAAACAAAACAAAAAAAACCCAGAAUCUUGAACAGAUCCCACAACUUCCCAGAUGCAAUACUGAUUAAAAGGAAGAGGUGGAUAAAGAAGAAAAAGAGACAGAAAGAAGAAAGAAAGAAAAGAACAGAAUAGAAUUUGCUGGAGUUUCACCAUCUUGUCCAGCCUGGUCUUGAACUCUGACUUCAAGGGAUCCACCCGCCAUGGCCUCUCAAAGUGCUGGGAUUACAGGCAUGGGCAGCAGCACCCAGCCUAAAAGACUAAGUUUAUGAAGAGGUGCUCAACCUAUCCAAUCAUCAGAGAAGUGCAAAUUAUUAAAAAAAAAAAAAAAACACCAGACACUUCUACGUACCAGUAAGAUUGGCAAAACUUACUGAGUUAAACCAAGUGUUGGUAUGGGAGUGGGAAAAAGCAAAUCCUCCUGUGCCGCUAUUAGGAGUCUAAAGAGGAACAGCCAUGUAGGAGUGAAUCUGUCCUUUAGUGAAAGUGUAUGUGCAUGCCCGUGACACAGCAAUCCCACUCGUAGGUAGGUCUCCUGAGAAACUGUCAAACAAGUUUAUAGGGCACAUGUCCUUGACAAUGCUGCUUCUAGUAAGAGCUCACUGGAGGCACCCUAGGAAUCCAUUAUUAGAGGAAUGGAGGAGUAAAAAUUGAGCUUCAUAAAGACAGAAAGCACUACUCAGGAGGACGAGGCAGAAGAAUCACUUGAGCCCGGGAGGCGGAGGUUGCAGUGAGCUGAGAUUACGCCACUGCACUCCAGCCUGUGUGACAGAGUGAGCAUCUGUAUCAAAAAAAUAAAAAUAAAAAAAGAAAGCAGAUUAGUGAUUUCUAGGGACGCGGGUGGGGUGAGGAGUAAGCAGGAAUGAGGACUACUAAUGGAUUUGAGGUUUCCUCUUGGGAUCGUGAAAUGCUCUGGAAUCAGAUAGUGGUGAUUGUUUGACAAUGCUGUGAACAUACAAAAAACCACUAACUUGUACAAUUAAAAACAAAGCUAGGCCUGCUGUGGUGGCUUACUUGUGUAAUCCCAGCACUUUGGGAGGCCAAGGCGGGUGGAUCACCUGAGGUCAGGAGUUUGAGACCAGCCUGGCCAACAUGGCAAAAUCCAGUCUCUACUAAAAAUAUAAAAAAUUAGCUGGGCCUGGUAGAGGGCUCCUAUAAUCCCAGCUACUCAGUAGGCUGAGGCGGGAGAACGCUUGAACCCGGGAGGCAGAGGUCGCCGUGAGCCGAGAUCGCACCACUGUACUCCAGCCUGGGCCACAGAGUGAGACUCUAUCUCAAAUAACAAAAAAAUAAAUAAAAUAAAUAAACUAAAAAAAAGUAAUGAACAUACCCACUGUAGAAAAACAUAGAUAAGAAAAAAAAUAUGUGGGAAAGAUAAGAAACAGAUUGUAUACAUCUAAGAGAAUAUGGGUAAAUUAAAACACAAAUACAUACAUCCACCAAAUACUGUACUCACUCAGUGAUACAUAUGUAACUGACACAUGUUAAGCACAUUAAAGUG